AUUAGCUCAGUUGGUAGAGCAGUGGACUUUUAAUCCAUUGGUCGAUGGUUCAAGUCCAUCAUGACCCACCA
rnacentral:tRNA from 1 species